CGGGAACCUAAAAGUGCAGGAACCUGAAGUUUUCCAGAUCCUUUCUAGCACUGAUUAGCACCGAAGAGCAAACGCAGAAGUUGCUCCUUAUGAAAACCUGAGUCCUCCUCUUUUAUUAGCAAGUCCCACACUGACGUACACAACCCUAGAACGUCAAUAUUGCUCCUCCUGGGUAGUGAGGCGAGAGAGAGAGACGUUAAUGGAGAAUUAAUUCUAUGUUUUGUGUGUGCAAACACACACACUCCACAAUACCUACUUAACUGAAGUUUGUGGGUACUUGUACCCAAAACAUUCAAAGUACCUUAAAAGUCCUGAAGUCUCGUUGUCCCUAUUUUACAGAUGGAGAAAUGGAGAGGCACUCAAAGCACCUCUGCUCCUCACUCGGUAAAGGUGAGUUGCAUUUGCUUUCCAUGUGGACAGACUGAAAUACAAAGGGGUUGGCCACCCACUGGGUUCUGUGUGCAGAACUUCGGCCAGGUAGCAGACUUCAUUCUUGGAGAACAGGUAGUUGAGUAGAACUGGAACUCCCUGUUUCUGUACCCCUGGAAGCUGUCUGACCUCCACCAGUGACACACCAAGGAGAAGGAGGAAGAUACCUAAAAUCCUGUAUGCCUAUGGACAGAGGGGUGAAUUAAGCACAGUCCCAGAUCUUAAGAUGCUUGAUCAGGUGAGAGGAGAUAAGCAUGUAGGUAAUUAUACAACAAUGGAAUAAUGAUAUGAUGCAGAGAGACUGGUGAGUGGAGUUCCAGCAUGAGAGGAUGGGCAGUUGGGUGCUCAGAUAAAGAUGACCCCUAAGCUGAAUCUUAAAAGAUAAGAAGGAUCAGCUCUGACAUAGCAGGGGGCAAAGGCCAUGGAAUCCUCUGAAAUGCCCUCAGGUCUUUUAGCUGGAGCCCCAUCUCUGUUUGGAGCAGACAGCAGUAUGUCUUAUAUACACAUACAUUAAAAAAACAUAUGUUAUGAGUUUUUUCAUCAAUCUGUAUAUUUUUUCUGAAAAUUAUGUU
rnacentral:lncRNA from 10 species